UGGGGAAUAUUGCACAAUGGGCGCAAGCCUGAUGCAGCCAUGCCGCGUGUAUGAAGAAGGCCUUCGGGUUGUAAAGUACUUUCAGUCGGGAGGAAGGUGGUAAGGUUAAUAACCUUGGCAAUUGACGUUACCGACAGAAGAAGCACCGGCUAACUCCGUGCCAGCAGCCGCGGUAAUACGGAGGGUGCAAGCGUUAAUCGGAAUUACUGGGCGUAAAGCGCACGCAGGCGGUUGAUUGAGUCAGAUGUGAAAUCCCCGGGCUUAACCCGGGAAUUGCAUCUGAUACUGGUCAGCUAGAGUCUGGUAGAGGGGGGUAGAAUUCCAUGUGUAGCAGUGAAAUGCGUAGAGAUGUGGAGGAAUACCGGUGGCGAAGGCGGCCCCCUGGACAAAGACUGACGCUCAGGUGCGAAAGCGUGGGGAGCAAACAGG
rnacentral:rRNA from 1 species